GUGGGGAAUAUUGCACAAUGGAGGGAACUCUGAUGCAGCAACGCCGCGUGAAGGAAGAAGGUUUUCGGAUCGUAAACUUCUAUCAACAGGGACGAAAAAAAUGACGGUACCUGAAUAAGAAGCCCCGGCUAACUACGUGCCAGCAGCCGCGGUAAUACGUAGGGGGCAAGCGUUAUCCGGAAUUACUGGGUGUAAAGGGAGAGUGGGCGGCAUGACAAGCAAGAUGUGAAAGCCCGGGGCUUAACCGCGGGACUGCAUAAUGAACUGUCAGGAUAGAGUACAGGAGAGGUAAGCGGAAUUCCUAGUGUAGCGGUGAAAUGCGUAGAUAUUAGGAAGAACACCGGUGGCGAAGGCGGCUUACUGGACUGAAACUGACGCUGAGGCUCGAAAGCGUGGGGAGCGAACAGGAUUAGAUACCGAGUAGUCC
rnacentral:rRNA from 1 species